AGCUCCAAUAGCGUAUAUUAAAGUUGUUGCGGUUAAAAAGCUCGUAGUUGGAUUUCUGUCGAAAACGCGUGGUCCACUCUAUGAGUGCGCAUCUACGACGGUUUUGGCAUCCGGGAGUGUGUUACACGUCGCUUCACUGCGAUGUUGGUGCGCUCCUCUUUUACUUUGAGGAAAUUAGAGUGUUCACGGCAGGCAAUCGCCUUGAAUAUGUUAGCAUGGAAUAAUAAUAUAGGACCUUGGUUCUAUUUUGUUGGUUUCUAGAGCUAAGGUAAUGAUUAAUAGGGAUAAUUGGGGGCAUUCGUAUUAUCACGUCAGAGGUGGAAUUCUUGGAUUGUGUUACGACGAACUACUGCGAAAGCAUUUGCCAAGGAUGUUUUCA
rnacentral:rRNA from 1 species